CGGACGGGUGAGUAAUGUCUGGGAAACUGCCUGAUGGAGGGGGAUAACUACUGGAAACGGUAGCUAAUACCGCAUAACGUCGCAAGACCAAAGAGGGGGACCUUCGGGCCUCUUGCCAUCAGAUGUGCCCAGAUGGGAUUAGCUUGUUGGUGGGGUAACGGCUCACCAAGGCGACGAUCCCUAGCUGGGCUGAGAGGAUGACCAGCCACACUGGAACUGAGACACGGUCCAG
rnacentral:rRNA from 1 species